rnacentral:rRNA from 1 species
UACAGAGGUCUCAAGCGUUGUUCGGAUUCAUUGGGCGUAAAGGGUGCGUAGGUGGGCAGGUAAGUCAGUGGUGAAAUCUCCGGGCUUAACCCGGAAACUGCCAUUGAUACUAUCUGUCUUGAAUACCCUGGAGGUGAGCGGAAUAUGUCAUGUAGCGGUGAAAUGCUUAGAUAUGACAUAGAACACCCAUUGCGAAGGCAGCUCACUACGGGAAUAUUGACACUGAGGCACGAAAGCGUGGGGAUCAAACAGG